rnacentral:rRNA from 1 species
CCUACGGGUGGCAGCAGUGAGGAAUAUUGGUCAAUGGGCGAGAGCCUGAACCAGCCAAGUCGCGUGAAUGAUGAAGGAUCUAUGGUUUGUAAACUUCUUUUAUAUGGGAAAAAAGUGAGGAACGUGUUCCUUUUUGUAUGUACCAUAUGAAUAAGCAUCGGCUAACUACGUGCCAGCGGCCGGGGUAAUACGGAGGUUGCGAGCGUUAUGCGGAUUUAUUGGGUUGAAAGGGUGCGUAGGUGGUUAAUUAAGUCAGCGGUGAAAGUUUGUGGCUCAACCAUCAAAUUGCAUUUGAAACUGGUUGACUUGAGUGUAUUGGAGGUAGGCGGAAUGCGUAGUGUAGCGGUGAAAUGCAUAGAUAUCACGAAGAACACCGAUUGCGAAGGCAGCUUACUAGACUAUAACUGACGUUGAAGCACGAAAGCGUGGGGAUCAAACAGGAUUAGAUACCCCAGUAGUC